UUAUCGUUGAUGGUAAGAUGGGUUUCUUUUCGUUCUUGAUUGUCAAUUCGCUUGUAAAUCCGUUAAAUUGAUGUUGAGUAUCUUGAUUCUGAGUAGUGGAUGUGUAGUGGGAAUUAGGGGAGAAGAUUAAGGGAUUUUGGGAGUUAUAGGGAUUUUAUUUUAUUUUUUUCCCAUAACCGAAUUUUGACUCUCUUUUCUAAAAAAAUGUUGCCAUCUAUUAUUCUCUCUCUCCUCUUGUCAAAAUUCUUUGAGUUUUUCCAUCUUUCUCUUCUUUUUCUUCUUCUUGAUUUUUCCCUAAUCCAUUUAUUUUCCUUUAUUUUCACAUGCGGUUAGUGC
rnacentral:lncRNA from 1 species